rnacentral:rRNA from 1 species
GAUGAACGCUGGCUACAGGCUUAACACAUGCAAGUCGAGGGGAAACGACGGGGAAGCUUGCUUCCCCGGGCGUCGACCGGCGCACGGGUGAGUAACGCGUAUCCAACCUGCCUCUGACUGAGGGAUAACCCGUCGAAAGUCGGCCUAAUACCUCAUGGUAUCGUCUGCGGGCAUCCAACGACGAUUAAAGAUUUCAUCGGUCAGGGAUGGGGAUGCGUCUGAUUAGCUUGUUGGCGGGGUAACGGCCCACCAAGGCUACGAUCAGUAGGGGUUCUGAGAGGAAGGUCCCCCACAUUGGAACUGAGACACGGUCCAAACUCCUACGGGAGGCAGCAGUGAGGAAUAUUGGUCAAUGGGCGAGAGCCUGAACCAGCCAAGUAGCGUGCAGGAAGACGGCCCUAUGGGUUGUAAACUGCUUUUAUGCGGGGAUAAAGUGAGGGACGUGUCCCUCAUUGCAGGUACCGCAUGAAUAAGGACCGGCUAAUUCCGUGCCAGCAGCCGCGGUAAUACGGAAGGUCCUGGCGUUAUCCGGAUUUAUUGGGUUUAAAGGGAGCGUAGGCCGUGGAUUAAGCGUGUUGUGAAAUGCAGGUGCUCAACGUCUGCACUGCAGCGCGAACUGGUCCACUUGAGUGUGCGCAACGCAGGCGGAAUUCGUCGUGUAGCGGUGAAAUGCUUAGAUAUGACGAAGAAACUCCGAUUGCGAAGGCAGCUUGCGGGAGCACAACUGACGCUGAAAGCUCGAAAGUGCGGGUAUCGAACAGG